AAUGUUUGACGCUGUUGACUUUUUAUCACAUGUUUGACCGUUCGUCUUAUUCAAAAAAUUUAAGUAAUUAUUAAUUCUUUUUCUAUCAUUUGAUUCAUUGUUAAAUAUAUUUUUAUGUAGGCAUAUAAUUUUACAUAUCUCACAAAAGUUUUUGAAUAAGACGAACGGUCAAACAUGUGCUAAAAAGUCAACGGUGUCAAACAUU
rnacentral:pre_miRNA from 1 species